GAUGAACGCUGGCGGCGUGCCUAAUACAUGCAAGUCGAGCGAACAGGCGAGGAGCUUGCUCCUCUGACGUUAGCGGCGGACGGGUGAGUAACACGUGGAUAACCUACCUAUAAGACUGGGAUAACUUCGGGAAACCGGAGCUAAUACCGGAUAACAUGUUGAACCGCAUGGUUCAACAGUGAAAGACGGUCUUGCUGUCACUUAUAGAUGGAUCCGCGCCGCAUUAGCUAGUUGGUAAGGUAACGGCUUACCAAGGCAACGAUGCGUAGCCGACCUGAGAGGGUGAUCGGCCACACUGGAACAGAGACACGGUCCAGACUCCUACGGGAGGCAGCAGUAGGGAAUCUUCCGCAAUGGGCGAAAGCCUGACGGAGCAACGCCGCGUGAGUGAAGAAGGUCUUCGGAUCGUAAAACUCUGUUAUUAGGGAAGAACAAAUGUGUAAGUAACUAUGCACGUCUUGACGGUACCUAAUCAGAAAGCCACGGCUAACUACGUG
rnacentral:rRNA from 1 species